rnacentral:rRNA from 1 species
UGGGGAAUAUUGGACAAUGGGGGGAACCCUGAUCCAGCAAUGCCGCGUGUGUGAAGAAGGCCUGAGGGUUGUAAAGCACUUUCAGUGGGGAGGAGUUUAAUUAGGUUAAGAGCUAGAUUAGAGGACGUUACCCACAGAAGAAGCACCGGCUAACUCCGUGCCAGCAGCCGCGGUAAUACGGAGGGUGCGAGCGUUAAUCGGAAUUACUGGGCGUAAAGGGUGCGUAGGUGGUUGAAUAAGUUAUCUGUGAAAUCCCUGGGCUUAACCUGGGCAGGUCAGAUGAUACUGUUUAACUCGAGUAUGGGAGAGGGUAGUGGAAUUUCCGGUGUAGCGGUGAAAUGCGUAGAGAUCGGAAGGAACACCAGUGGCGAAGGCGGCUACCUGGCCUAAUACUGACACUGAGGCACGAAAGCGUGGGGAGCAAA